rnacentral:rRNA from 1 species
GGAACUGCCUUCAAAACUACAUUUCUUGAGUUUGGUAGAGGAGAGUGGAAUUCCUAGUGUAGAGGUGAAAUUCGUAGAUAUUAGGAGGAACACCAGUGGCGAAGGCGACUCUCUGGGCCAAUACUGACGCUGAGGUUCGAAAGCAUGGGUAGCGAACAGGAUUAGAUACCCUGGUAGUCCAUGCAGUAAACGAUGAGUGCUAGAUGUUGGGAAUUUUAAUUUCCAGUAUCGCAGUUAACGCGUUAAGCACUCCGCCUGGGAAGUACGGCCGCAAGGCUAAAACUCAAAUGAAUUGACGGGGACCCGCACAAGCGGUGGAUCAUGUGGUUUAAUUCGAAGAUACGCGAAGAACCUUACCGGCCCUUGACAUACCAAUCGCGGACUUAAGAGAUUAAGUCUUUCACUUCGGGUGGAUUGGAUACAGGUGCUGCAUGGCUGUCGUCAGCUCGUGUCGUGAGAUGUUGGGUUAAGUCCCGCAACGAGCGCAACCCUUACCUUCAAUUGCCAGCACAUUAUGGUGGGAACUUUGAAGGAACUGCCGGUGAUAAGCCGGAGGAAGGUGGGGAUGACGUCAAGUCCUCAUGGCCCUUACGGGCCGGGCUACACACGUGAUACAAUGGUAACUACAAAGGGCAGCGAAGGAGUGAUCUGGAGCAAAUCUCAAAAAGUUACCUCAGUUCGGAUUGCACUCUGCAACUCGAGUGCAUGAAGUUGGAAUCGCUAGUAAUCGUAGAUCAGCGCGCUACGGUGAAUACGUUCCCGGGUCUUGUACACACCGCCCGUCACACCAUGGGAGUUGGUUUUACCUGAAGCUGGUUCGCUAACCGUAAGGAGGCAGCCAACCACGGUAAGAUUAGCGACUGGGGUGAAGUCGUAACAAGGUAACCGUA